rnacentral:rRNA from 3 species
GGGGAUCGAAAGACCUUAUGCUUUUGGAGCGGCCGAUGUCUGAUUAGCUAGUUGGUAAGGUAAUGGCUUACCAAGGCAACGAUCAGUAGUUGGUCUGAGAGGACGACCAGCCACACUGGGACUGAGACACGGCCCAGACUCCUACGGGAGGCAGCAGUGGGGAAUUUUGGACAAUGGGCGCAAGCCUGAUCCAGCAAUGCCGCGUGAGUGAAGAAGGCCUUCGGGUUGUAAAGCUCUUUCAGUUGAGAAGAAAAGAUUGUAACUAAUAAUU